CAGUAGCCACGGGAAUACGUAGGUGGCAAGCGUUGUCCGGAAUUAUUGGGCGUAAAGGGCUCGCAGGCGGUUUCUUAAGUCUGAUGUGGAAGCCCCCGGCUCAACCGGGGAGGGUCAUUGGAAACUGGGAAACUUGAGUGCAGAAGAGGAGAGUGGAAUUCCACGUGUAGCGGUGAAAUGCGUAGAGAUGUGGAGGAACACCAGUGGCGAAGGCGACUCUCUGGUCUGUAACUGACGCCGAGGAGCGAAAGCGUGGGGAGCGAACAGGAUUAGAGACCCCUGUAGUCCCUGUCUCUUAUAC
rnacentral:rRNA from 1 species